rnacentral:rRNA from 1 species
UACGUGGGUGACCAGCGUUGUCCGGAUUUACUGGGCGUAAAGAGCGCGCAGGCGGUCGUUCAAGUCGAGUGUGAAAGCCCCCGGCUCAACUGGGGAGGGUCAUUCGAUACUGAUCGACUUGAAGGCAGGAGAGGGAAGUGGAAUUCCCGGUGUAGUGGUGAAAUGCGUAGAUAUCGGGAGGAACACCAGUGGCGAAGGCGACUUCCUGGCCUGUUCUUGACGCUGAGGCGCGAAAGCUAGGGGAGCAAACGGG